rnacentral:rRNA from 1 species
GGCGACCGGCGCACGGGUGAGUAACACGUAUCCAACCUGCCGUCUACUCUUGGCCAGCCUUCUGAAAGGAAGAUUAAUCCAGGAUGGGAUCAUGAGUUCACAUGUCCGCAUGAUUAAAGGUAUUUUCCGGUAGACGAUGGGGAUGCGUUCCAUUAGAUAGUAGGCGGGGUAACGGCCCACCUAGUCAACGAUGGAUAGGGGUUCUGAGAGGAAGGUCCCCCACAUUGGAACUGAGACACGGUCCAAACUCCUACGGGAGGCAGCAGUGAGGAAUAUUGGUCAAUGGGCGAUGGCCUGAACCAGCCAAGUAGCGUGAAGGAUGACUGCCCUAUGGGUUGUAAACUUCUUUUAUAAAGGAAUAAAGUCGGGUAUGCAUACCCGUUUGCAUGUACUUUAUGAAUAAGGAUCGGCUAACUCCGUGCCAGCAGCCGCGGUAAUACGGAGGAUCCGAGCGUUAUCCGGAUUUAUUGGGUUUAAAGGGAGCGUAGAUGGAUGUUUAAGUCAGUUGUGAAAGUUUGCGGCUCAACCGUAAAAUUGCAGUUGAUACUGGAUGCCUUGAGUGCAGUUGAGGCAGGCGGAAUUCGUGGUGUAGCGGUGAAAUGCUUAGAUAUCACGAAGAACUCCGAUUGCGAAGGCAGCCUGCUAAGCUGCAACUGACAUUGAGGCUCGAAAGUGUGGGU